rnacentral:rRNA from 1 species
AUUGAACGCUGGCGGCAUGCCUUACACAUGCAAGUCGAACGGCAGCAUGAUCUAGCUUGCUAGAUUGAUGGCGAGUGUCGAACGGGUGAGUAAUACAUCGGAACGUGCCCUGUAGUGUGGGAUAACUAGUCGAAAGAUUAGCUAAUACCGCAUACGACCUGAGGGUGAAAGUGGGGGACCGCAAGGCCUCAUGCUAUAGUAGCGGCCGCUGUCUGUUUUGCUAGUUGGUGAGGUAAAGGCUCACCAAGGCGACGAUCAGUAGCUGGUCUGAGAGGACGAUCAGCAACACUGGAAAUGAGACAGGGCCCAGACACCUACGGGAGGCAGCAGUGGGGAAUUUUGGACAAUGGGCGAAAGCCUGAUCCAGCAAUGCCGCGUGGGUGAAGAAGGCCUUCGGGUUGUAAAGCACUUUUGUCCGGAAAGAAAUGGCUCUGGUUAAUACCUGGGGUCGAUGACGGUACCGGAAGAAUAAGGACCGGCUAACUACGU